GGAGUUCAUACGUGGGUCUGUCGUCCUCCUCAUUAUAGUCCGCCUAGAAUCCAUAGCAUUUCGUCGGAAUACAUCCUGUCUUUUCACCUUAGUAGUCCUAUGCAUAGUCAGUACUAUAGCCCCAAUCAUGGCUACUAAUAAAAUCAGACUAGAAACCAAAAACCAGACGAAAUAGUAGGUAUAAAGUAAAUUGCCCAAUGUUUCCAAAUUAGUCCAACUUCGUACCUUUCCGGCAUAAACCGUAUAUCUCAGAGAGGUCGUAUUUCUUUGGGUUGGUAGUAAUGGAAUGCUUUCAUUAUCUAAAAUGAAGAACAUCUCCCACCAAAAGAUCAGUCCAAUAAUACCACUCACUGGUAAAUAGCGCAAUACUUCUUCGUGAAUCUCCGCUAUUUGAAUAUGGAACAUCAUAACAACGAAUAGGAAUAAAACGGCUAUAGCUCCUAUAUAAACUACUGGGAAGAUCAUAGCGAAGAAGUCGAGACCUAACAAAAUAAGUAAACAUGAAGUGUUGCGAAAGACUGGGAUGGGAAACAAAACGGAAUGUACCGGAUUUUUAGCACGUACAACCAUCAAACCAGAGACCAAAGCAGGGCUCGACAAAACAGAAAGUAUCAUAGUACGUCGUCCUUCCCUGAAAUGGAACUUUCAUGCUGGAGCAAGAACUAGCAUGAAAGUCGAUCUAUUACGACCAGCGCGGUUGUUCGUAUUUCAUUUUCGUUUUACAAGGCAAACUGCACUGAGUUACUUACGAAAGUUGUACCGAGGGGGUGUGCAACGUCCUUCCCCAUAUUCUAUUGAAAGAAACCCGAUCAUCAACAGAGGCCCUUUCCCCCCCAACCAACUUGAAUCUGAACUACGAUUCAGAUCACGUCUA